GACGAACGCUGGCGGCGUGCUUAACACAUGCAAGUCGAACGGAAAGGCCCUGCUUUUGUGGGGUGCUCGAGUGGCGAACGGGUGAGUAACACGUGAGUAACCUGCCCUUGACUUUGGGAUAACUUCAGGAAACUGGGGCUAAUACCGGAUAGGAGCUCCUGCUGCAUGGUGGGGGUUGGAAAGUUUCGGCGGUUGGGGAUGGACUCGCGGCUUAUCAGCUUGUUGGUGGGGUAGUGGCUUACCAAGGCUUUGACGGGUAGCCGGCCUGAGAGGGUGACCGGCCACAUUGGGACUGAGAUACGGCCCGGACUCCUACGGGAGGCAGCAGUGGGGAAUAUUGCACAAGGGGCGGAAGCCUGAUGCAGAAACGCCGCGUGCGGGAUGACGGCCUUCGGGUUGUAAACCGCUUUCGCCUGUGACGAAGCGGGAGUGACGGUAAUGGGUAAAGAAGCACCGGCUAACUACGUG
rnacentral:rRNA from 1 species